rnacentral:rRNA from 1 species
CCCUUAGAUGUUCUGGGCCGCACGCGCGCUACACUGUUCGACGCAGCGAGUCUUAACCUUGACCGAAAGGUUUGGGUAAUCUUCAGCAAAGUCGAACGUGAUGGGGAUCGAUCAUUGCAAUUAUUGAUCGUGAACGAGGAAUUCCUAGUAAGUGCAAGUCAACAGCUUGCGCUGAUUACGUCCCUGCCCUUUGUACACACCGCCCGUCGCUACUACCGAUUGAAUGGUUUAGUGAGAUCUCUGGAUUGACGCUGGCUAGGGGGCGACCCUUGGCCAGACUGUUGAGAAACUGCUCAAACUUGAUCAUUUAGAGGAAGUAAAAGUCGUAACA